rnacentral:rRNA from 1 species
CGCGCAGGCGGUCUUGUCCGUCAGGUGUGGAAGCUCGGGGCUCAACCCCGGAAGUGCACUUGAAACAGCAAGACUUGAAUACGGGAGAGGAAAGCGGAAUUCCUGGUGUAGAGGUGAAAUUCGUAGAUAUCAGGAGGAACACCGAUGGCGAAGGCAGCUUUCUGGACCGAUAUUGACGCUGAGGCGCGAAGGCGUGGGUAGCGAACG